GACGAAUGCUGGCGGCGUGCCUAAUACAUGCAAGUAGGACGCAGUUGCGAACGGGUGAGUAACGCGUAGGUUCCUACCUAUUAGUGGGGGAUCACUAUUGGAAACGCUAGCUAAUACCGCAUACUAGUAGAUGGACCUGCUUUGUAUUAGCUAGUAGGUAGGGUAAAGGCAUACCUAGACAACGAGACAUAGCCGACCUGAGAGGGUGAUAGGCCACACGGGGACUGAGACACGGCCCAGACGCCUACGGGAGGCAGCAGUAGGGAAUCUUCGGAAAUGGGGGUAACCCUGACCGAGCAACGCCGCGGGAGUGAAGAAGGUGUUCGGAUCGUAAAGCUCUGUUGUUAAGGAAGCGGUACUUAACCAGAAAGGGACGGCUAACUACGUGCCAGCAGCCGCGGUAAUAC
rnacentral:rRNA from 1 species